AGAAAAUACUUUGAAAUGAAAAUUGCCCAUUGAACGAUUAAACAUUUUUAUUGGAACAUCAAUUAAAAAAAUGAGAAGAAACGUUGCAUCUAACGGUGCACUGUGUUAAAACACUUUAAACAUGAAUGUGGCUCAUUGAUACAAUCUGGACAAUAGGUGGUCACUUUUUUCCUCUGAUUCUUAGCAAUUUUUCAUCCUAAUUGUUUAACAUUUUUUUAUACCACUCUCUGCAAAAUUUUCGUGCCAGCUACGCUUGCCCUUCUUUCUUCUGUAUUUCCUAUGGCAAUCUUUGUCGAAUAAGUAUAUUUGACUGCUCUGGUGAAUGGCUCUGUGUAAGGUGCAUUGCCAGUGCCAUUCUAAAAUCUGAUACCUUGAAUUUUGUUUUUGUUGCUUGUUUAGAGAGUAUUAUCGCGUUUGAAAUUCAUGUAUUUAACAAUAACUCUGAAGCUAGUUUUAUAUACCACUUGAGGGUUCCUCUAUGUGGUGUAGAAUAUGCUAUCAUUUGAUCCGAUAAGUCUACAGUACAUUUUCCUCUCUUGUAAUCUACCACUACCAUUGAUUUAUCACAAACAUAAUUUUCUUUGCGGACCUCUACCAUUUCAGCCGAAUGUUUCGUCGAAAUCAUAAAAAUAAUCAUAAUAGUGUUUGUUAAUAUCUUCUACACGGUUCAAUAAUAUAUUCUGCACGUUACCAAGGCGCCAAUAAGAUAAACGGUCCAUUCAGGAAGAAUGUUGUCUUACAUCAUCAAUUUAUGACUAUUUUGUCAUUAUAUGCUUUGAAUAAUAAAAAUACUUCCGUAGCGUCCUCAGUGAAACAUUUGAUUUCGGCGUGGCAGUCAAAGUGUUAACGUGUCUCCUUGCUAAAAAAAAAAAAAAAAAAAUUGCGAAAGAGAAAUUAGCGAAUGCGGCAUCGUAUCCCAUAGGGUCUGUGACGUGUCUUCCAUAAAAUAUGGCAAACCUUGUCGACGCUUGUCGCUUUUCUUCCUCUUUCUUUUUUCCAUUUUUGUUGAUUUUGCACGAGAAAAAUUGAAAACUGUUUUUGUUUCUCGUAAUAGGUACGCAACCGUGUUAUUAUAAUAAAAGGACGCGUCGUUUCGAUAGCUACGAAAUCAAAGUAAUUGGCUCUUAAUCAAAAAGCACGACGUUUCUGCUGAAUUUACGCGCAGAUAAAAACACCAGCUACUCCAUAAUGAUCGACGUUUAUAGAUGCCAGUCGUUUUAUCGCGUAUUAACUUUUAAAGGGAAGCUUCGUCGUGCACGAUAGCCCGCGCGAAGGAAGCAACAGUCGUCCUCUGGCGACUUGCAAUUCCCAUUUCUAAUAUUCUAAUCAAUUUAUGC
rnacentral:misc_RNA from 1 species